ensembl:lncRNA
CCCUUGUGUGCAGGAGGGCUGUGUGUAGUUCUGCAUUCCCCUGCAGAAGAUGCAAGUUGAUAUAAGGCUAUCUGUGGGCUGUGGAGCUACAAGCUGGAAGCCAAAAGAGAGGAGAAUCAGAUGUGGAGCACCUAUUAAGUACAGCUAGACAAAUGCAAAUCAGAUAGGGCAAGUGGUGUUUAGCUGUCCAGGAAAAUAGUGAGCAAGACCUAAUGCAUUAUAGAAGAGGAGGAAGCAAUCUGAUGGCUUCUUGGCUAUGCACUUUUAAAUAAAAAGGAAACCAGAAUGAUGAAACUCUGCUGCAUGGAGGGCAUCUUUGUCACACACGUGGAAGGUCAACACAGUGGGGAGAUAAAGGGAUAUAUGCUGAAGGAACUGUGUAGAUGACAGUGACAGACAAGAAACCAGCAUCCAGUGAUUGAACUGAGCAUGAAAAGGCAACACAGGAGGUUUUGUCAAAGAGCAGAACACCGUGCAGAAAAGGGACUGCUCCUGCCUGCACAAGAACAGC